CUAGCUUGCUACUUCACACUGCCGUGAAAAUUAAUAUCUUCCAAUGAUAAAAAUGCAAUAAUCGUUGGAGUUCUGUGAUGAAUGUGUGUUUAUUUUUUAUAAAACCAAAAAAAAAGGUUUUCCGUGUGUUUGAUUUCUGAGGCCUGAUAUAUUUACUGAUGGUUGGAUUAGUUAGUUUUGAUUGUGAUUUGUGUUAAAAAUAUAAUAGUUCUGCAUAAAAAACAAAGUUUCUCCGCACAUAUCGGCAGCUCAGAUUUUCAAACCAAGCGAAUAGUUUAAUGGCUGAUUAUUGUUACCGAUGCGGCUUCUCCCGAUAUUCAACACCCAUUAUGAGCUUCUGUACCGAGAAAAUAAAGUGAAGUUUUUCGAUUUUUGUGUGUGCG